UACGGAGGGUGCGAGCGUUGUCCGGAAUCACUGGGCGUAAAGGGCGCGUAGGUGGUCCCUUAAGCGUGUGGUGAAAGCUCGGGGCUCAACCUCGAGUCGGCCAUGCGAACUGGGGGGACUGGAGCACUGUAGAGGCAGGUGGAAUUCCGGGUGUAGCGGUGGAAUGCGUAGAGAUCCGGAAGAACACCGGUGGCGAAGGCGGCCUGCUGGGCAGUUGCUGACACUGAGGCGCGAAAGCUAGGGGAGCGAACAGG
rnacentral:rRNA from 1 species